rnacentral:rRNA from 1 species
CCUACGGGUGGCAGCAGUGGGGAAUAUUGCACAAUGGGGGAAACCCUGAUGCAGCGAUGCCGCGUGGAGGAAGAUGGCUUUCGGAUUGUAAACUUCUUUUAUCAGGGACGAUAAUGAGGGUACUUGUACAAAACGCUCCGGCCAACAAAGUGCCAGCAGUCGCGGUAAUACGUAGGGAGCGAGCGUUGUCCGGAUUUACUGGGUGUAAAGGGAGUGUAGGCGGGACGGCAAGUCAGAUGUGAAAACCGCGGGCUAAACUUGCAGACUGCAUUUGAUACUGCUGAGCUAGAGUGAAGUAGAGGUAAGCGGAAUGUCUGGUGUAGCGGUGAAAUGCGUAGAUAUUAGGAAGAACAUCGAUGGCGAAGGCAGCUUACUAGGCUUUUACUGACGCUGAGGCACGAAAGCGUGGGGAGCAAACAGGAUUAGAUACCCUUGUAGUC